GACGAACGCUGGCGGCGUGCUUAACACAUGCAAGUCGAACGGAAAGGCCCUGCUUUUGUGGGGUGCUCGAGUGGCGAACGGGUGAGUAACACGUGAGUAACCUGCCCUUGACUUUGGGAUAACUUCAGGAAACUGGGGCUAAUACCGGAUAGGAGCUCCUGCUGCAUGGUGGGGGUUGGAAAGUUUCGGCGGUUGGGGAUGGACUCGCGGCUUAUCAGCUUGUUGGUGGGGUAGUGGCUUACCAAGGCUUUGACGGGUAGCCGGCCUGAGAGGGUGACCGGCCACAUUGGGACUGAGAUACGGCCCAGCCUCCUACGGGAGGCAGCAGUGGGGAAUAUUGCACAAUGGGCGGAAGCCUGAUGCAGCAACGCCGCGUGCGGGAUGACGGCCUUCGGAUUGUAAACCGCUUUCGCCUGUGACGAAGCGUGAGUGACGGUAAUGGGUAAAGAAGCACCGGCUAACUACGUG
rnacentral:rRNA from 1 species